rnacentral:rRNA from 1 species
GUACAUGCCUACACCAUAGCGUUAAUGCACUAGAUCCCAUUAGAGAUCCAUAGUUAAGUGUGCUUGAGAUAGAGUAGUACUGGGAUGGGUGACCACCUGAGAAGUCCUAGUGUCUUACAUG